rnacentral:rRNA from 1 species
UUAAGCGACCAAGCGUACACGGUGGAUGCCCUGGCAGUCAGAGGCGAUGAAGGACGUGCUAAUCUGCGAAAAGCGCCGGUAAGGUGAUAUGAACCGUUAUAACCGGCGAUGUCCGAAUGGGGAAACCCAGUGUGACUCGUCACACUAUCAUUAACUGAAUCCAUAGGUUAAUGAGGCGAACCGGGGGAACUGAAACAUCUAAGUACCCCGAGGAAAAGAAAUCAACCGAGAUUCCCCCAGUAGCGGCGAGCGAACGGGGAGGAGCCCAGAGCCUGAAUCAGCAUGUGUGUUAGUGGAAGCGUCUGGAAAGGCGCGCGAUACAGGGUGAGAGCCCCGUACACAAAAGCGCACAUGCUGUGAGCUCGAUGAGUAGGGCGGGACACGUGGUAUCCUGUCUGAAUAUGGGGGGACCAUCCUCCAAGGCUAAAUACUCCUGACUGACCGAUAGUGAACCAGUACCGUGAGGGAAAGGCGAAAAGAACCCCGGCGAGGGGAGUGAAACAGAACCUGAAACCGUGUACGUACAAGCAGUGGGAGCCUCUCUUUAUGGGGGGUGACUGCGUACCUUUUGUAUAAUGGGUCAGCGACUUAUAUUCUGUAGCAAGGUUAACCGCAUAGGGGAGCCGAAGGGAAACCGAGUCUUAACCGGGCGUUAAGUUGCAGGGUAUAGACCCGAAACCCGGUGAUCUAGCCAUGGGCAGGUUGAAGGUUGGGUAACACUAACUGGAGGACCGAACCGACUAAUGUUGAAAAAAUUAGCGGAUGACCUGUGGCUGGGGGUGAAAGGCCAAUCAAACCGGGAGAUAGCUGGUUCUCCCCGAAAGCUAUUUAGGUAGCGCCUCGUGAACUCAUCUCCGGGGGUAGAGCACUGUUUCGGCUAGGGGGCCAUCCCGGCUUACCAACCCGAUGCAAACUGCGAAUACCGGAGAAUGUUAUCACGGGAGACACACGGCGGGUGCUAACGUCCGUCGUGAAGAGGGAAACAACCCAGACCGCCAGCUAAGGUCCCAAAGUCAUGGUUAAGUGGGAAACGAUGUGGGAAGGCCCAGACAGCCAGGAUGUUGGCUUAGAAGCAGCCAUCAUUUAAAGAAAGCGUAAUAGCUCACUGGUCGAGUCGGCCUGCGCGGAAGAUGUAACGGGGCUAAACCAUGCACCGAAGCUGCGGCAGCGACACUUUAGUGUUGUUGGGUAGGGGAGCGUUCUGUAAGCCGUUGAAGGUGUCCUGUGAGGGGUGCUGGAGGUAUCAGAAGUGCGAAUGCUGACAUAAGUAACGAUAAAGCGGGUGAAAAGCCCGCUCGCCGGAAGACCAAGGGUUCCUGUCCAACGUUAAUCGGGGCAGGGUGAGUCGACCCCUAAGGCGAGGCCGAAAGGCGUAGUCGAUGGGAAACGGGUUAAUAUUCCCGUACUUGGUGUUACUGCGAAGGGGGGACGGAGAAGGCUAUGUUGGCCGGGCGACGGUAGUCCCGGUUUAAGCGUGUAGGCUGGUUUUCCAGGCAAAUCCGGAAAAUCAAGGCUGAGGCGUGAUGACGAGGCACCACGGUGCUGAAGCAACAAAUGCCCUGCUUCCAGGAAAAGCCUCUAAGCAUCAGGUAACAUCAAAUCGUACCCCAAACCGACACAGGUGGUCAGGUAGAGAAUACCAAGGCGCUUGAGAGAACUCGGGUGAAGGAACUAGGCAAAAUGGUGCCGUAACUUCGGGAGAAGGCACGCUGACACGUAGGUGAAGUGAUUUACUCACGGAGCUGAAGUCAGUCGAAGAUACCAGCUGGCUGCAACUGUUUAUUAAAAACACAGCACUGUGCAAACACGAAAGUGGACGUAUACGGUGUGACGCCUGCCCGGUGCCGGAAGGUUAAUUGAUGGGGUCAGCGCAAGCGAAGCUCCUGAUCGAAGCCCCGGUAAACGGCGGCCGUAACUAUAACGGUCCUAAGGUAGCGAAAUUCCUUGUCGGGUAAGUUCCGACCUGCACGAAUGGCGUAAUGAUGGCCAGGCUGUCUCCACCCGAGACUCAGUGAAAUUGAACUCGCUGUGAAGAUGCAGUGUACCCGCGGCAAGACGGAAAGACCCCGUGAACCUUUACUAUAGCUUGACACUGAACAUUGAGCCUUGAUGUGUAGGAUAGGUGGGAGGCUUUGAAGCGUGGACGCCAGUCUGCGUGGAGCCGACCUUGAAAUACCACCCUUUAAUGUUUGAUGUUCUAACGUGGACCCGUAAUCCGGGUUGCGGACAGUGUCUGGUGGGUAGUUUGACUGGGGCGGUCUCCUCCUAAAGAGUAACGGAGGAGCACGAAGGUUGGCUAAUCCUGGUCGGACAUCAGGAGGUUAGUGCAAUGGCAUAAGCCAGCUUGACUGCGAGCGUGACGGCGCGAGCAGGUGCGAAAGCAGGUCAUAGUGAUCCGGUGGUUCUGAAUGGAAGGGCCAUCGCUCAACGGAUAAAAGGUACUCCGGGGAUAACAGGCUGAUACCGCCCAAGAGUUCAUAUCGACGGCGGUGUUUGGCACCUCGAUGUCGGCUCAUCACAUCCUGGGGCUGAAGUAGGUCCCAAGGGUAUGGCUGUUCGCCAUUUAAAGUGGUACGCGAGCUGGGUUUAGAACGUCGUGAGACAGUUCGGUCCCUAUCUGCCGUGGGCGCUGGAGAAUUGAGGGGGGCUGCUCCUAGUACGAGAGGACCGGAGUGGACGCAUCACUGGUGUUCGGGUUGUCAUGCCAAUGGCACUGCCCGGUAGCUAAAUGCGGAAAAGAUAAGUGCUGAAAGCAUCUAAGCACGAAACUUGCCCCGAGAUGAGUUCUCCCUGAGACUUUGAGUCUCCUGAAGGAACGUUAAAGACGAUGACGUUGAUAGGCCGGGUGUGUAAGCGCAGCGAUGCGUUGAGCUAACCGGUACUAAUGAACCGUGAGGCUUAACCUU